rnacentral:rRNA from 1 species
UACGUAGGGUGCGAGCGUUGUCCGGAAUUAUUGGGCGUAAAGAGCUCGUAGGCGGUGUGUCGCGUCGGCCGUGAAAACCUGCAGCUUAACUGUGGGCUUGCGGUCGAUACGGGCAUCACUGGAGUUCGGCAGGGGAGACUGGAAUUCCAGGUGUAGCGGUGAAAUGCGUAGAUAUCUGGAGGAACACCGGUGGCGAAGGCGACAUCCUGGACCGGUAUUGACGCUGAGGCGCGAAAGCCAGGGGAGCAAACGGG